rnacentral:rRNA from 1 species
UACGUAGGGUGCGAGCGUUGUCCGGAAUUAUUGGGCGUAAAGAGCUCGUAGGCGGUUUGUCGCGUCUGCCGUGAAAGUCCGGGGCUCAACUCCGGAUCUGCGGUGGGUACGGGCAGACUAGAGUGAUGUAGGGGAGACUGGAAUUCCUGGUGUAGCGGUGGAAUGCGCAGAUAUCAGGAGGAACACCGGUGGCGAAGGCGGGUCUCUGGGCAGUAACUGACGCUGAGGAGCGAAGACGUGGGGAGCGAACAGG